UUCUUGUAGUAGCCUUCAUGCUACAGGAAGGGACAUCAAAUUACUUCAAAGGGCUGAUGCUUCUUCUGUGCUAUCUGAUAGUCGCAGCGAGUUUCUUUGUACAUAUAGACGAAGACUCUUCGCAGGAGGAUCAUCCUUAGGAGUUGUACAUACAAAAAAAAAAGGAAGAAGAAGAAAAAGAAGCACAUCCUCAAGUCUGUUGGAAAAUUAAGGCCCCAAAUAUAGAUUCAAGAUCUUCAAGAACUAUGCAUGUGUAUAUAUAUACUACUCCAUAUUAUUUGUAAAGUUAUCUUGUGAAAGAAGUUUAAUAACGAUGCUUGUUUUAA